UAUUUUUGCAAGCAGCUGCCUGCUUUUUUUUUCUUUUUGCAUCUCCUUUUUUUGCAACUGGUGACUCUUCAGAGCAGAGACUCCUUCACCUUUCCUCCGCUGCUUUCCCAGCACAGAGCUCAAUUCAUCCUAAGUGGCACAUGGACUAACAUUCCAAGCUGGCCUAAUGCCUUUGCUGAGUUGGGGGCAGAGGAGAGGUAACUGCAGAAAACAUGCAAUCUCUCUGAGUCUGUACAGAGGAAGUUGGACACAGCCCUGCAGGUGGGAUGUGCGUGCCGGGAGCAUCACACAACCGUGGGGAGUCACCCGGCAAGUUUGCAUAGGGGUUGCUCAGGCAGCAAGCAACAGGGAAAGAAAACAGCGGCUUAAAUAAAACACUACAGUGAUUAUUGUCUGAAUUUUUUUAAAAAAAUGUUUUGAUUAGUGUUGAUUGAACUUCUGUAUUUAAAGGACCUAAGAGGUCCAAAAUGCAUUGGACAUUAAACUUUUUUCUUCUGUCGUACUGCUUCCUGCUUCCCUCCCCAUUUGCCUGGAAUUCCCCCUUCUUUGUUAUACUUGAUUA